rnacentral:lncRNA from 1 species
UGGUCGUCGUCAGCGGGCUGCACGUAGUAGUAGGCACCUCCGGUGUAGUAAGGGUCGUCGUCGACGGUGGCGUCUGGCUCCUGGACUCCAGCAUCUGGUUGCGACAACCAGAAAGAAAGGAAAGGGGGAAAAAGGGGGGAGAAAGCAACCGUGAGUACUCAUCCAAAGUACUCGCAAGCAAGGAAUUACACUACAUAUGCAUGGGUAUAUGUGUAAGGAGGCCAUAUCGGUGGACUGAACUGCAGAAUGCCAGAAUAAAAGGGGGAUAGCUAGUCCUAUCGAAGACUACGCUUCUGGCAGCCUCCGUCUCGCAGCACGUAGAAGAGAGUAGAUUGAAGUCCUCCAAGUAGCAUCUCCAAGUAGCAUCUCCAAGUAGCAUCUCCAGUAGCAUCGCAUAGCAUAAUCCUACCCGGCGAUCCUCCCCUCGUCGCCUUGUGGAAAAGCGAUCACCGGGUUGUCUGUGGAACUUGGAAGGGUGUGUUUUAUUAAGUAUCCGGUUCUAGUUGUCAUAAGGUCAAGGUACAACUCCAAGUCGUCCUGUUACCGAAGAUCACGGCUAUUCGAAUAGAUUAACUUCCCUGCAGGGGUGCACCACAUAACCCAACACGCUUGAUCCCAUUUGGCCGGACACACUUUCCUGGGUCAUGCCCGGCCGCGGAAGAUCAACACGUCGCAGCCCCACCUAGGCAAAACAGAGAGGCCAGCACGCCGGUCUAAACCUAAGCGCACAGGGGUCUGGGCCCAUCGCCCAUAGCACACCUGCACGUUGCGAGGGCGGCCGAAAGCAGACCUAGCCUAGUGGCGUUCCAGUCCAAUUCGGCGCGCGCCGCUCCGUCGCUGACGUCUGAAGUGCUUCGGCUGAUACCACGACGUCGGGAUACCCAUAACUACUCCCACGUAGAUGGUUAGUGCGUAUAGGCUCGUAGCCGACUCAGAUCAAAUACCAAGAUCUCGUUAAGCGUGUUAAGUAUCCGCGAACGCCGAACAGGGCCAGGCCCACCUCUCUCCUAGGUGGUCUCAACCUGCCCUGUCGCUCCGCCACAAAGUAACAGUCGAGGGCCGUCGGGAACCCAGGCCCACCUCUACCGGGAUGGAGCCACCUGUCCUUUCAGCCCCCUUAUCCGAAUCACUUGCGGGUACUCAACGAGCUGACCCGACUUUAGUCACCAUCUAUAUAGUAUGUAUGUAUGUAUAGUAUAUACCCGUGAUCACCUCCUGAGUGAUCACGGCCCAAUAGUAUAGCAAGGCAGACUGACAAGAAUGUAGGGCCAAUGAUGAUAAACUAGCAUCCUAUACUAAGCAUUUAGGAUUGCAGGUAAGGUAUCAACAGAUGUAGCAACAAUGUCAGGCUAUGCAUCAGAAUAGGAUCAACGGAAAGCAGUAACAGGCUACACUACUCUAAUGCAAGCAGUAUAGAAGAGAAUAGGCGAUAUCUGGUGAUCAAGGUGGGGGGGGCUUGCCUGGUUGCUCUGGCAAGAGAGAGGGGUCGUCAACUCCGUAGUCGAACUGGUCAGCAGCAGCGUCAGUCUCGUAGUCUACCGGAGAGAAGAGGGGGAAGAAAUAAUGAAUACAGAGCAAACAAAGCAUCACAAAUAUAACAAGGCAAUACGCGGUGUUCGGUGUGCCCUAACGCGGUAGUAGGUGAUACCGGUUAAGGGGGGAAACAUCCGGGAAAAUAUCCCCGGUGUUUCGUGUUUCCGGGCAGAGGAGCCGGAGGGGGAAAGUUGUGAGUUCGAUAGGUUAGGUGUGUGUGGCGGACGAACGGACUGCGUAUCCGGAUUCGUCUCGUCGUUCUGAGCAACUUUCAUGUACAAAGUUUUUCCAUCCGAGCUACGGUUUAUUUUAUAUUAAUUUUUACAGUUUAAAUGAAUUCUUAAAUUUCCUGGAUAUAAAUUAAUUCGAAAAUCAUUUAAUAUUAAAUGCUAAGUGUACAUAGAAAAUGUACACAACAGUGUGCUUGUGAGGUUGAAAAUGGGACCCGGAGGUGUGCUGAGUCAGCAGUCAAAGUCAAUGUUGACCAGUCAACAGAUUUAUUUAAAUGGAUUUAUACAUUGGUGGGGCCGGCAUGUAAUAGGAACAAGUUAUAUCAAAGGUUAUUUAAGAGGGGGGUUCCCACAUGUCAUAGAGUAUAAUUAAAUUAAACCUAAACAUAAAAUUAAACUAACAGUGGGGGGCCCUUGGCUUAAUCUAAACUGAUUAGCCCCUCUCCUAAUCUAAACUGGGGCCGGUCUAAGAGGCCGGGCACGCACGCGGCCUCACAGAGGAGGGCCGGCAGCCGCGGCGGGAAGCUCCGGCAGUGGCGGCCGAGCAAGGAGCAGCAACGGCCGUAGCUCAACAGCAACGAGUAGCAGAGCAGGCGCGCAGCAGCACAAGCGGCGGUUGCACGCGCGAGGGGGGGGGGCGGCAGAGGCGGCGCAGGUGCAGCUAGGCCACGGCCAGAGGCGACGCCGGGCACGCGGGACGCGGCCUGUAGUCUGCGGGUGAAGAAGGACGCGGCUAGGCGGAGGCAAAUCCACGGUGGGCAGGGGCUCGCGGCCUGGGGCGUUGGGGAGCCCAACGGAAGUGGGGAUCCGGCCAUGGCGGACAGCGACGCGCGGGAGCAUCUACGGCGACGAAUCAAGACGAGGAACAAGGGGGAAAUGGAGGGGAUCUCACAGCGAAGCUGUAGGGCAAGUCAGUGGGCUCGGGGAUGCGUCGGGGACGACGAAUCGAUGACGAAGUUGUGCGGCGGCCGACGGGGAAGAAGAUGAAGCAGGCGUCGUCGAUGGGCGACGAGCGGCGCUGGCGAUGGGGCGGCGUUGAGGCGCGAUGGCGUAGGGGUGGGAGGGCGUCACGGCGAGGGGGGUCUCCGGCGUAGUGGGAUGAUGGCGACGAUAGCGGGGUGGCGUCGGGCGACUUCAGGUCUUCGCCCCGAUCUCGAUCCAGAUCGGGGGGCAGGGAGCGAGUGUGGGGGGGUGAGGAGCGAGUGGGGAACGUGGGCUAGGGUUUCGGGGUCCAGGGGGUUAUGGAGGGGUGCGGUUGGGCCGGCUGGCCCAGCCGGUUUUGGCGGCCAGCUGGGCCCGUAGGCCGUGGGAGGGGGUUUCCUCUCUUUUUUUUUGUUAGUUCUGUUUUCUAUUUACUUCUUUUUUUGUUUUUAUUUUAUUCUGGUAUUCACUUUUUAUAAAUCACAAAACAAAUUCCUAAAUUAGUGUUUCAACACAAUCCAAUGUCAAAAAAAAACUUUUACCCUGAAAUAAAAUAGUUUAGCAUUUUACAAAAUACCAAAGGCAUUCAAAUAAUUGUUUUAGCUACUGUUUUGUUCAUGGUUAAAUACUCAAACAUUUUAUAAAAGUUUGAUUUCUACACCAUAAUUACCUGUGCAUUAUUUCACUCACACUAAACAUUUUAGUUUUAAUAUUUGAAAACUUUUAUUGUUUGUUAGAUCUUUUAAAUUGGAUUUGAAUCGGUUUCGAACUAAAUCGAGAUUAGCAACAGUAACCAUGGUGACGUGCCACCAUUAGUGUGGGAUCACUGUAGCUUAAUUAUCCGGGCGUCACACUAUAUCAAACAGUCCAAUGGAAAGGAAGACAUGUUUACACAUAAGAGUUGGGAGUAUAUCCUUCCCAAGGAAAAGCAGAGCAGGAUAUACAUGAUAGGAUAGCAAGUUCAAAAGCAUUUAGAUAAUGGGGCGAGGGAAGAAUCCUGAUAUUACAUUCAACGGUGUUUGGAUAAUAGAUCAAGAAAAAUUCGAUAAUGUGCUUCCAAUGUUCUUGUUGAUAUGCGGAAUACCCCAGUCAUGCUUUGAGGUAGCAUUAACAUGGUGUUACAAGUAGGGGUUGGAGUUGAAGAUCACAAGAAAUACUCAAGGAACAAUUGCAGGAAUAGCAAGGAGCCCAAGGUAUAACCAAGACAUGAUCAAACAUGUGUUGGAAAGAAGACAAGGGGGUUGUCAAUGAUAACUCAAAUCAUUGAAGGUCAAGGAUGGUAUUUCUCACCAUGAAUUCAAUCGUCAUCUCAACGGAAGUCAAAAUGUUGAUGCUGAUCACGAUGCAUUUGUCGAGAGGCUCUAUGAAGAUGCCAUCGAGGAGCGAUGCCAUCAAGCAACAUGAAGGAUGAAGCGAAAGGCUAUUGGAACCACAGAUACGACACAAGCUCAAAAUCAAGCUUGUUGUUCGAGGUGAAUUGAUAAAUGAGGAAGAUCGACGUAAGCUUCGCUCAUUGUUGAAAAGUUGUGCUCUGGGAAUAAGGACCAGGUAGCACAGUUAAAUUAGCACGACAAUGAUAUAGCCGAUCAGGCUAGGAAUGAGGUGACGAAGUAUCACUCCAAUUAAGAAUUUACAAGAGGUAGUGUAAUGACACAAUAUCAUCGAGAUAACAUGAGGCAAUACUUGAAGGUAGAUCAAAUUAGAGGUUGGACAGGUGAAAUGACUUGCAGGAGACAAGUAUUUUAACUUGUCCGGGAAAUGGAAUUAAGGAGAAAUUAUGGUAGGAACCACGAUUAUGAAUGAUAAAACCACCGAUACAAGAUGAACUUAUAACAAGGGGGUAAUUAUUUUUACGAGCAGCUUCCAUGAUAAGUUCUACAUCGGGUCCGUGGGCAUGAACACAAACGUUCAAGGUCGACUCCCACUUCUUCAAUGCAUAACCUUUCAUUCACUCCUCGUUUUUGAAGAAUUUGUAGUGCAAAAGAUUUAUCUGGUGAAGCACCAGAAGAGUAUGACUCACAUCUCUUUCGAGUUCACACAAAUUUUAGGAAAGGUAUAGGUUCAACCCGUAGGGGUAUCUUAGGAACAUAUACCAUUAACUUCCAGAGCAUAUAACAUCAGCUCAAUGACAGAGCAUGGUUGACAAUAAGCAGAGGAUGCAACUUACCGAAGGCAAUAUGUAUCAGGGGAAGAGCGCACAAGAUUUUGAAUAUGAAGGACAUUGCCGGAUAAUAAUCCAACAAAGUAUUCAGCGGUCCUCAAUGUAUCUGAUGUGAGUAUCAGUACUCAAUCAGAAGAGGGAAAGAAUGCGAAGGCAUUAGAUUAUAGAAACAGCUGAAUAAUUCGACGUUCAAGUUGAAGGGAACUAGGUGGACAAUCAAUUACAACAUGAUUGGCCGAGAUCCAACUCAUGUCUAGAAUGACGUAUGAGCAGGAAGGUCAAAUUUCAGGGUUCAACUGAUGAUUGCGAGCAAUCGCAACAUAAUGAAUCAAUAGGCUCAGGAUGACAAUGACAAAGGAUGUUAAUUAAUAUUGCUCGACAUAUGGAUUUAACCAUAAUGCAGGGAGACAAGACUUUCGGGAGCACUAGGCUGCAGAGGAUCUUCAGGAGAUCGAAUUGCAUUCGAAGAAUUUUUAUGAGACAUAUGAUCAACUGGGGAUGAACAAAUCCCUGAUAAGUGUGUGAAUUAUUCGUAGGGUUAUUCAGGCAGAAAAGAGUUGCAAGGCAGUCGAAAAAAAAGGAUUCUCAAAAGUCGGAGAAUACUUUCGGGUAUCUUGUAAUAACGAGAAUAAUUAGGGAUGGAAGUAAGAACGGCGAGGGUACACAGUUAUCCAUAAGGAUUCAACAGUGUUAAGGGAUUGCAAAAGAAAUCAACACAAGUUCUCGGGAAUAGAUCGGAGAAUAUCUUUGAAGUCUUCUGGUGAAGCAGGCAACCAUCCGUAAUGAAGGGGCUCUUCGGGGAAAGUCGUUACGAGAUCCUAAUGUUAGAGUUAGCAAAAUCGUUUAACCCGAAUGGAAGAGAGAUCAGAGUCCCAGAGUAUAGAGAAGGAAUAAAAGAUCCUAAUACCACCCAAUUGGCAACGUGAGCCCAUAAGCCACACAACCAAGUUAGUAAAACAAUUUUCGGUUUCUAGACUCAACUUCGGCCAAGGAGUUGGAAAGGGGGCUACCUACAGGCAGUCGGCUCUGAUACCAACUUGUGAUGCCCUCGAUUCAAUCAUGCACUAAUCGUACACGCAAAUGUGUACGAUCAAGAUCAAGGACUCAUGGGAAGAUAUCAUAACACAACUCUAGACACAAAUUAAAAUAAUACAAGCUUUAUAUUACAAGCCAGGGGCCUCGAGGGCUCGAAUACAUAAGCUCGAAUACACAAGAGUCAGCGGAAGCAACAAUAUCUGAGUACAGACAUAAGCUAGACAAGUUUGCUUUAAGAAGGCUAGCACAAAAGCAUCUACGAUCGAAAAGGCAAGGCCUCCUGCCUGGGAGCCUCCUAACUACUCCUGGUCGUCGGCGUCCGUCACGUGAUAGUAGGCACCGGCGGUGGCAUCUGGCUCCUGGGCUCCGACAUCUGGUUGCAUCAACCAGAAAGAAAAGAAAGGGGGAAAAGGGGGAGCAAAGCAACCAUGAGUACUCAUCCAAAGUACUCGCAAGCAAGGAUCUACACUACAUAUGCAACAUUAUCAAAGGAAGGCUGUAUAUGUGGACUGGGCUGCAGAAAUGCCAGAAUAGAGAGAAGUCCUAGUCCUAUCGAAGACUAGCAUCUUCUGGAAACCACCAUCUUGCAGCAAACAUGAGGGAGUAUAGUAGCAUAAAGUAAAGUAGUAGUAGUGUUAUCAACCUCGGCCAGAGAUCCUUUCUCGACUCCCUGCGAGAAAGCAAUCCCAGAGCCAUACUAUCCAUUUAUCAUCACAAUCCAAUUCUCAUCAUCAUCCAAUUCUCAUCACAAGUAUCCAGUUCUAGUUGUAUCGAUCGGGAUACAACUCCAAGUGUCCGUUACCGUAGGACAGGCUAUCAAUAGAUGUUUUCUUCCCUGCAGGGGUGCACCAAGUUACCCACCACGCUCGCUUAACUCCGGCCGGACACACUUUCCUGGGUCAUGCCCGGCCUCGGCCAAACAAUACGCCGCAACGCGACCUACGCCUAAUAGAGAGGCCAGCACGCCGGACUAAACCUAUGCCCCCAGGGGUGAUGGGCCAUCUCCCCGGGAACUCCUGGACGUUGCGAACGCGGCCGGUGAGCAGACCUAGCUACCUCCUUAAAAAGGUAGGUGCUUACCAGUCCAACCUGGCGCGCGCAGCUCAGUCACUGACGUCUAAUAAGCUUCGGCUGAUGUAUACGACGCAGAACGCCCAUACUAUGCCCACGUGAUUGUUAGUGCUAUCAGGCCAGAGGCCCCUCAGAUCAAAUAUCCAAAUCGUAGUGGAUUAGGAACGUGCGGUAACAAGCAGAGACUCACGAAAGAUGUGACCCCGUUGCCCCGUCUCGAGGACUUGCGGCAAGGGCUAAGAAUGCCCGGCCACGCCUCGUAAUUAUCUCAUGGGCACCUUCCAGGUCAACCCGACUCCACAUCACUCGCAAUUAUGCUCGCGCGGGUACCCCUGAGGGUCGACCCGUCUUUAGUAACAUGGUUCAGUGUCAAGUCAUAGUAACCAUAGUAACCGUGUGUCCAAACAUCAAGGGGAAAACCCGAGGAAUCACCCCCGGUGGAUUCCAGUUGAUGUAAUCAUCAAGGUGAACGUAAGAGGAAUCACCCCCGAGGUUCACACUUGAGGGGUUGCACGACAGAGUCGUAUCGGAAGUGGUUAAGGCGGAAUCACCCUCGAUGACCACGAUCGAAUAACUACACUACAGGGUUAACAUCAGAAGUGCUAUAGAGGUCUCACCCUCGGCACUCGAUAGUAACCCAGCAGUGUCGAGCAACUAAGGGGAAAGUGAUGUGCGGUGCCGGGGCCUGGUCUUCGAUCCCGUUGAUCGGGUCUUCAAUGAUGAAGCAGGGGCAACAAGAAUAAGGUGGGGGUCACUGAUGGAUCACUAACCAACCUAUACUAAGCAGUUUAGGAUAAGCAAGUAAGGUACAACCGCAGAUACAAAAGCAGGCUAUGCAUCAGAAUAGGAGCAAUCAAUANNNNNNNNNNNNNNNNNNNNNNNNNNNNNNNNNNNNNNNNNNNNNNNNNNNNNNNNNNNNNNNNNNNNNNNNNNNNNNNNNNNNNNNNNNNNNNNNNNNNNNNNNNNNNNNNNNNNNNNNNNNNNNNNNNNNNNNNNNNNNNNNNNNNNNNNNNNNNNNNNNNNNNNNNNNNNNNNNNNNNNNNNNNNNNNNNNNCUCGGGGUCUACCGGAAAGAAGUAACAGAGAGGGAACACAAUAAAUAAUAGAGCAAUCAAAGCAUCAUAAAGCAUAACAUGGUAAAACGCGGUGCUAGGAUCGAUCUAACACGGUGCUAGGUUAUACAGACGAAGAGGGAAACCAUCCGGGAAUGUUUUUCCGGUUCCGGACGUCUGUCAGACAAAUGAACCGGAGGGGAAAAGUUCGAGGUUUGCUAAGCUAGGGACAUGUGGCGGACGAACGAAUCGCGUAUUCGGAUUCGUCUCGUCGUUCUGAGCAACUUUCAUGUAUAAAGUUUUUGGAUCCAAGCUACAGUUUAUUUUAUAUGAAUUUUCAAAGCUUUAAACAUUUUUUAAAUGUAUUAAUUCGAAAUAUAAACAACAAAAAGUUUUGUCACCUAGUACUACUCUAGCCAGAGUGUAUUACAGGUGGGGCCAGUGGAUUUAGUCAACAGUUGACCAAUCAAGAUUGACUGGUCAACAGGGUCAAAGCAGGGCCCAUCUGUCAUUGACUUUAGUUUAAUAAAAUGGUAAUUAACAGGGAUGAUCCCACAUGUCAUUUACUUAGGCUAAAUUAGCACUAAAUAAAUACUAAUUAAUCCUAAACCUAAAUCUAAACAAGGGCCGGCCUCAACACAGCCAGCCAUCAGGCUGGCUCACACACACACACGCACCUAGUACACACACAGUGCCACAAAGCACACACGGCCACGACCAUUGCCGUGGCCAGCAACAGCAGCAGCCGGUGGUAGUGGCGCAGCGCAGCCGCUAAGCAAGCAACACAAGCUGCGGCAGCCUGCACGCAGUAGCAGAAGCAGCAAUAAGGGGCAACAGUACAUAAGUAACAGCAGUCUGAGCAGCACAGCAGCGGCAGCUUGCAACAGCAGAGUAGCACGACGCGCGGGGAAGGAGGAGCAGGGCGCGGCCCCGGGCAGCAGGGCCCACGAGCGUGCGCGCACGCGCGAGGCGUAGCCGAGGCGCGGGGCUGUGCGCGCAAGGGAGCAGAGCUCCGUCCGAUCAUGGGAGGUCGCGUUCGGCGGCUUAAGGCAACAGAUCGAAGGGGGAAAAGGAGGAAUCGGGGAAGAAGCUCACCCCGGAGCUCGUGGUGUGGUCGAGGAAGCGACAUGGAGUCGAGGUGGACCGGAGGAGCGGAGGAGCAACGUGGCGGCAACGAACGGAGUCAGGUGCCAAGGUCGAAGGCGGCUCGAUCCAGUCGAUGUAGGUUCUCCGAGCUCGAACGCGUCCCCGUAGUGGAAGGAGAUGAGCGUAGCCGACCUCCUGGAUAAGCUAGUGGGGCUCGGGGUCAUCGGGAAGCACGCGGACGACGAAGGCAAUGGCGACGGCGGCUCGGCUUGUCGCUGGGAGGAAGCAAAGGCGCGAGGGGAAAGGAAGAGGGGACUAGGGUUCGUUCCGCGGGGCAGAGGGGGUCCUUAUCUUCGCGGGGCACCGCUGGAUGGCCGGCGUGUGGCUGGAGGGGC